rnacentral:misc_RNA from 1 species
CUACCAAUCAACGAGCAACAAAUAAAAGUUUGUAACAAUUCCAAGGAAAAGAAAAAAAAUAAAAAGGGGAAACGCUUAUUCACCUGUCAAAAUAACAAAUACACUCGCAACAAAGAAGAUGUUAUUGGAGUCAUCUCCAACAUAUUCGUCAAAACAGUUCCACAUCACACAUUUCUCAAGAGAUUCAAUUGCCAAUUGUAAAAUUUAAGUCAAAAAAGGAACAUCUACUGCCUCUAAAUGUAUUUGACCAAGUAGAUUCCCUGUAACAGCUAAAAACUGUAACCCCUAGAAGAACAGCUCUUAGCACCAUUUGAUUCACCCGUAUAGUUGUUGCAACCAAAAGCACAGGCAAAUUUCCAGUGCCUGCAACCUUGAUAUACAAUGACUAAUCUAUGUUCCUAAAUAUGAUCUGUAUAUGAUUUGUGAAGGAAGUGAAUUUCCGAGUGAUUAGAGAAGGUACACCUGUUUUGAUAACCCCCACUUGGAUCCAAUGGUACAAAACUUUCAAAUCUUAAUUGGCCAAACAUAGUUUUGAACUACACAUGCUGUACUCCAUAUCAAUAUUUGGCUCAUUUUUUAUCAAUUUCAGCACCUCCAACGAAUGUGUGAGCUCAGGAUUUUCUGUACUGAGUAUGAUUAGCUUAUGCUAUUGGUCUUUUAUUUCAUGUAUUCCAACACACUUUGGGUGAUGUCUUCAAGGAAAGAAACAAAACCCAUGACACUUGUGAAGCCAUUGCCAUCAACAUCCUGUUCCUCAAUGAGGUAAUUCUCAAAUGCUGAGGCAUCAUCCUGCCCUCCCCGGAUAAAAAUCAAUUUUGGAGUUAUACUCCUCUCUUGCUUCAAUUUGUUUAUUGUAGUUCUCAACAAACAAUCCUGGGGUGGAGGAAAAGGAAGUGCAGGAUCUGCUGUAGAUGAGUAGAAUACAAUUAGAGUUGUAAAUGCAUCAAGGAAAAAUAUUGGACUACCACUGGUAAUUAAAGCAGCACGGCUCAAAGAGUGGCGAGGAUAUGCUUGUUUAUCUGGUGUAGAAUAUGACAUUAGUACCGGAUAUACAGCACGAUGAAGGGAACUUGGUUCAAGUGCACUGAAAAGACACUGUAGGUAGAUCCGGUAGUCAGGGUGGACACCUUCUUCGUGGAAGCGCAGAAGAGGAUUUCGAAGCAAAGCAAAAACUAGACGAGGUAAGGGCUGCAGUUGUGGGCAUUGUGAGAAUGCAACAUCAAUCUGACCAGUUACUGAACUCCCGUUCUUAAACUGAACCAGUUUACAAGCAUCAUUAUAUUGAGCUGUGAGGAUUACAAGCCAAUCAUGAAGCAGCAUCCUGCCCUCCCGAACCCCUUGCUCCAGAGAUGCUAAUAUAACCUUGUGAACAAGAACUGAUAGAACAGCUUCAGAAUCAACACUGUCAUAGAGUUCGUGAACAUUUCGAGCAGCACCAAAUUGCAAAGUUCGGAUCCUCAAUCGCCGUUUAAGGGCAUGCUUCCCUCCACUUGCAGAAACCAAUCCUGAACUUGAAAGCUCUUCAGGAGGCACAACAACCGUGUACUGAAAUGCAAUCUGAAGCACGGGUUGUUCUGAUGCAUGUCUUGAAAAGCCAUCUGUACUCGCAAAAUCAAAGUCAUAGACAUAUGUAGCAUAAGAAUCACAACAAAUAAUGUGCUGAACAUUUUCGUAUUGUGGAUCUGGGAAGAAAUGACCAUACUGCAAUAAACAGUCUAAGCAUGUCACAAAUUUGGUGAAACUCAUUGACUUAUUAAAGAAAAUGAAAGCCACUUACAGAAUGACCAGGCUUAAAUUCAGAAGAUGUCCUCAAUCGAAGUAUACAACCAAAAGCAUAUGGUCGACUUAACAUCCGAUAACUACAAAAGUACAAGCACAAAACUAUACCUGAACAACAGACCCACUAAAAAUGAUCAUAAUAUCACUUUUUCAAGUGAACUCAUAUUUGCAUUAUAUAGAACAUCUAUAAGGUUUUAUUCGUAAUACAUGCAUACUGUAUGCCUUACAGAUGAUAAACAUAAUGCUUUCAUUAAAAUUAUUUGAAAAAUAUAAAUUAUAAAUGUUAUUUUCAUUAAUGUGAUAAAAUAUAAAUGACAUGUUGAGCACUGAUUACUAGUACAUAGAUACUCACAUGUCCUGAGGAAGUGUUGAGUCAUCAGUAUUUGAAUACAGAAACAAUGAGCCUCCACUUUCAAUGCUAAGAAACUUAAGGGAUGCUAAAUCUGUGUACUCAUUUGUAACAGCAAAGAUGUCCACGCAAACACCAGCUUGAACAGCGACAGCAGCCAGAUCUCUGUAGAAUGGUGUCUGCUCUGGCAGCAAAGCCCUGUCUGCAUCCUCACCCUUACUAGCAUAUUGUUCACCAUACCUCCUUGUGUCUAACUGCCCGGCUCCAUAAUCAGGAGGACCAGAUAUAAAGGCAAAGACUCUAGCUGCAAUCAUUUUCAAUCAAGCAGCAACAUGAUUCACAUCUUCAAAUACAUAAACUUUCUAAACCAAUGAGAAAACAAUUGGUCAUUCAUUAUUGUAAUUCUAAGCAACUAAAAUGGAACAUGAGCUUUAAACAGCAACACAGACCUAAAGCAAAUAUGUUUCCGUACUCUGAUCCAAGGUACUUAAAUAGGGCUUCCAUUGCAACACCGAAACCCCGCCCACCCAUCAAAACACCAUCUAGCCCUUGACCUGCACCUGUGGUUCUUUCCCAUGCAGUUGUUGGCCUAAGUGUGUCAAGUGCAACUGUAAUACGGUCUUUACAAGUAUCCACUGGGGCCAAGAAUUGUAGUAAAGGCAUGGCAUCUUCAAGCUCAAUUGGCAGGGUG